rnacentral:rRNA from 1 species
UCUAAGAAUCAUUUAGGGUGGGACCUGGUCAAUGGAGAAAUAAGAAAUUUUCUUUAAAUUCAUGUCUUAGCGUGAGGAUAAUAAAGUAGCAUAAUCAUUUGAUAUUUAAUUGGUGUCUGGUAUGAAUGGUGAAACGAUUGUAAAAUUGUCUCAAUUUUUUUAAAAAAAAUUAAAUUAAUAGUUAAGAUUCUAUUAAAAUAGGGUUAGACAAGAAGACCCCAUAAACCUUUACUAUAAACUUUUAAAUUUUUAAAAAAAUUUUGAAAGUUAGGUAGUUUAGCUGGGGCAGCUAUUUUUUAUAAUAAAGAAAAUAAUUAUUUGUUUAUUUUAUAAAAUUAACAAAUUGAAAAAUUAUUGACCUUAUAAAUUUUACUAGAUUUAUAACUUUUUAGAAAAAAGGUACUUUGGGGAUAACAGCGUAAAUUAAAAAUAGAGAUGGAAUCCAAUUUUAAAUCUACGACCUCGAUGUUGAAUUUAGAUUUCCCUUAGCUGUAGAAGGUUAAAAAGGUCAGAUUGUUCAUCUGUUAAAAUCUUACAUGAUUUGAGUU